GAUGAACGCUGGCGGCGUGCCUAAUACAUGCAAGUCGAGCGAAGCGGGGACGGGGGAGUAACACGUGGAUAACCUCCUAUAAGACUGGGGUAACUUAGGGGAACCGGAGCUAAACCGGAAAAUUAUAGCAGGAGGCACGUGGCAUUAGCUAGUUGGUCAGGUAACGGCUUACCAAGGCCACGAUGCAUAGCCGACCUGAGAGGGUGAUCGGCCACACUGGAACUGAGACACGGUCCAGACUCCUACGGGAGGCAGCAGUAGGGAAUCUUCCGCAAUGGGCGCAAGCCUGAUGGAGCAACGCCGCGUGUGUGAUGAAGGUCUUCGGAUCGUAAAACUCUGUUAUUAGGGAAGCGUUACCUACUCAGAAAGCCACGGCUAACUACGUGCCAGCAGCCGCGGUAAUUC
rnacentral:rRNA from 1 species